CCGGCGACGGCUCCCAGUCGGCGCACGCACAGGCCGCUGGUGACCGGGUCAGCGCCGCUCAGGAGGCUCGCGAUGGAGUCGGCACAGACAGACCCGCCGCGCCCUGCCCGCAAGAUAUCGAGCCCGGUUACGUGUUUGGCGGUUGGUAGUUACGUGACCGUGGCGGUGGUUGUCGUCGUCAUUGUCCUUUGUGUGUACGCGCUGGGUGAGCGGGCGGAGACGGACCGGCCGGACGCUCGCGACACCGCGGUCCGUAUGGCACUGAUGGCUCGGGUGCUGCUCGUCCGUCGGGCCCCCUGUCCGGACGGCAGUCCGCGGCUGCGCGGCGGGGGCUGUCGACCAGCAGUUUCCCUGACGGCACGCCGGCCGCCAGUGCCACUGGCUUUUCUCUUCCUGUGAUGCAUGGCGAUCGGGCCGAACGUUUUAUUUUAAGUGAGGCAACUUCAGCGCCCGUAUCAGAUGCAUACCUCGAACCUGGUAACAUCCGUGGACGCCGAAGCCGACGGCGCACCCCCGUCAUCAGCAGGACACGGCGCAUCCCCGUCAUCAGCAGGAUAUGGCGCAUUCACGCCAUCAGCAGAACAUGGCGCAUUCCCGUCAUCAGCAGAACAUGGCGCAUUCCCGU